ACCGGAUAGGAAACAUGACCAGAUGAGCUCAUUCUACUUUAUUGUAAGGCUACAUUGACAGAAUCUCGCAUGCCUGAAAGUACAAAUCUCCCGCUGUCUCCUUUACAGCCCAAGAACCUAGGGAGGGACCCUUCUGAGCCUCUUGCCCAGCCCAGUAUGCAGCUGCAGGCUGUGCCACCUCUUAUCUGACCGUUCCCUUGGCAGCACCUCUUGGCCCGCUCCCUCAAGGUCUUUCCCACAUGCCAUUACAUCCCUGCAAAACAUUGCCAUCCAUACCUCAUCAGAAUCUCAGCGAUGCGGAAUCCAAUGCCAGAGCCGCCUCCUGUGAUGAAAGCAACCUUACCCCUAGAAAGAAGAAGGGGACAUCUGGAAGCAGGAGCUACAGAGGCAGAAAUCCCACUUAUUUACAACCAUGAUCUGGAUGAUUACAAAUUCUGCAGGAGGAAGAGGAGGAGACGAGAAACAGGAUUUGGGGAGAAGAGGAAAGCGUAGCUGGUCUGCAGCUGCAGCUGCACCAAAUUUAAGGGUUUUCUUGCUAUUGUAGUAAUAUCAUCUAAUAAGUGAAUAAGGAACUGAGGUUUUGCACCCAGAUUAACAACAACUGUAUUUUUACUAACAUUUGGUAUUCAUGUGAUAUUCAAAGUAAUCUUCAAAAGACAGGAUCUUGCAUUAUGUCUCAAUAAUGUAUAACCAGCAUAUAUAAUUAAAGAAAGGUUCCCAGAAGCAGAGAGAGAAAAUUAUUGCAAGGUGGAGCUCCGAUGCAACCAGGAUAGCAUGGAAACGAGGACAUCUGAAACAAGCUUUCGAAACAGAAGGUGUUGAGACAAGCAAGCAUUUAAUCUUGAUUCCAUGCAGAACCUUCAUCUAAGGAUAGGACAAACAUCCCCUGGCAACCUCCCUCUGCCAUGUCCCCAUAGUGUUGCCUUCAUCUCAUCCCCAGUCCAUCCAAGAAGCAGCUUGACCUCAUCCUUAGUUGUGCUGGUGAUGAUGUUUCCACCCUUAAUGAAGCAGAACCUGCAGCUGUUUAAGGUGUGUGAAAUCCAGCACACUUUGCUGAAUAUCUCGCUGGCUCAGGUGGCCUUUAAUGGGAGGAUCAGAGGGGUGUCUGGUGGUCAGUUCAGGCUCCUGUGGCCAUGCCCCCCUCCUCCAGACCCAAAUCAUCCUCUUCUGGCUAAAGCAUGAGUGGAGGGUCCUGACCCCAAGGCAGAGAUGAACAGCAAUAAAGCAUUUUUUAAAAAAAUCUCUUUGUCUUGAAUUGGGCGCCCCGCUGGCACCAGAAAUUGGUUUGUUUCACCCUACAAAACAUUUUAGAAGGGGAACUUAGUGUGACUGACUUCUUCAGAACAUGUGUAGGUUUUGUGCUUCCAGGUCCAAAGCACCCCCCAUCACCCGGAUUUUCUCUCACGGGGCACAAUUGCAAACCAGCCAUUUAUUACAAGCUCUGAAAGUGGUCUGUUGUCUCUGUAGUGGGUUUCAUGUGACCGGCAGUAUAUGAAUAUCACAGGAUGCGAGUUUUCUUCCCAACCUUGAAAAAAAAAAAGUCCUCCCCUUUCUAAUUUUUCUCCUGCAGGACAAGGAAUAUCAGCCUGACCAAUGCAAACAUCUGCAUCAGCUUUCUGAAUUGAGUCCUUACCCCCCUCCUCUCUCUGGAAAGUAAACCAGCUUUGCACAUUAUCUUUAACCCCUAGAAAAACUAGCUUGGGUUGAACUCUUUCUGCCAUACGUGACCUUAAGUAAGUAAAUCCUUUGGAAUGGAGACAUUCUUCUGGAAAGUGACUUUUGUCCCUUGCAACUCAAGCUGAAGACAGCAAUAUAACAUCUCUGUUUUAUUGCUUAUUGUACCUAAUAUCCAGUGUGUUGGUCAGGCUUUGAGGUGAAUCUGCAUGAACACAUUCUGUCAGUGUAACACUGUUAUUUUCUCCCUCAUUUUUACUUUUUUUUUUUUUUUAAGUUUGGACAGCUGGGUCUCCUGUUUGCUUCUAGAUAUGGCGUAUUCUAUUGUUGUGGUACCAGCAGUGUUAGGGCAGGAGGUACAUGGUCCUUACAUAAACUGGAAAAAUCAAGUUGGGACUGUGAAACUGACAAGACCAGCUUCUCAAGAGCACCUAUUGUGAAACUGACUAGAGAGGGGCUGGAUGAGAAUUAAGGAAAAAAACUAACUUAACAUGGCACUCAAGAUAAGUCAAGAGGACCUUCCAUCCACUCACAAUGAUUGCAGAAGAAAUAAGGUGCUUUGUGUAUGGUAGUGUUGCAACAUCAGCAGGCUACAGGUCAAGACAAAAUGUGACCUUCCCAAUACAACAUCGGGAAUGCCCCAGAAAUAAAAUCCACUUCUUUUUAAUGAAUAUUCCAUUAAGAACUGUACUCCCAAAACAACAGCAUGGCCCUGGGCAGCUGGCAAGAUGGGCUUCGGGGGAGGCCUGGCAUGGUCUUCCGGCUUGAGCAAAGCCUUGGCAAGUGGCUCCCCUCCUCUCAAGUCCACGAAGAUUUAAACCCGGAUGCACAGGCUGAAAA